UGGGGAAUUGUUCGCAAUGGGCGCAAGCCUGACGACGCAACGCCGCGUGGAGGAUGAAGAUCUUCGGGUCGUAAACUCCUUUCGAUCGAGACGAACGGCCUCCGGAUGAACAAUCCAGAGGAAUGACGGUACCGAGAGAAGAAGCCCCGGCUAACUCCGUGCCAGCAGCCGCGGUAAUACGGGGGGGGCAAGCGUUGUUCGGAAUUACUGGGCGUAAAGGGCUCGUAGGCGGCCAACUAAGUCAGACGUGAAAUCCCUCGGCUUAACCGGGGAACUGCGUCUGAUACUGGAUGGCUUGAGUGUGGGAGAGGGAUGCGGAAUUCCAGGUGUAGCGGUGAAAUGCGUAGAUAUCUGGAGGAACACCGGUGGCGAAGGCGGCAUCCUGGACCAACACUGACGCUGAGGAGCGAAAGCGUGGGGAGCGAACAGGAUUAGAUACCCCCGUAGUCC
rnacentral:rRNA from 1 species